rnacentral:rRNA from 1 species
CCUACCCCCUUGAAAUAAGCAUAUCAAUAAGCGGAGGAAAAGAAACCAACAGGGAUUGCCCCAGUAACGGCGAGUGAAGCGGCAACAGCUCAAAUUUGAAAUCUGGCCCUCGGGUCCGAGUUGUAAUUUGUAGAGGAUGCUUUUGGCGCGGUGCCUUCCGAGUUCCCUGGAACGGGACGCCUUAGAGGGUGAGAGCCCCGUACGGUUGGACACCAAGCCUCUGUAAAGCUCCUUCGACGAGUCGAGUAGUUUGGGAAUGCUGCUCUAAAUGGGAGGUAAAUUUCUUCUAAAGCUAAAUAUUGGCCAGAGACCGAUAGCGCACAAGUAGAGUGAUCGAAAGAUGAAAAGCACUUUGAAAAGAGGGUUAAAUAGCACGUGAAAUUGUUGAAAGGGAAGCGUUUGCGACCAGACCUCUCCCCGGCGGAUCAUCCGGCGUUCUCGCCGGUGCACUCCGCCGGGCUGAGGCCAGCAUCGGUUCCCGCGGGGGGACAAAAGCGGGGGGAACGUAGCUCCCUCGGGAGUGUUAUAGCCCUCCGCAUAAUACCCUCGCGGGGACCGAGGACCGCGCUUCGGCAAGGAUGCUGGCGUAAUGGUCGUCAACGACCCGUCUUGAAACACGGACCAAGGAGUCGAACAUUUGUGCGAGUGUUUGGGGGUGGAAA